UACGAAGGGGGCUAGCGUUGCUCGGAAUCACUGGGCGUAAAGGGUGCGUAGGCGGGUCUUUAAGUCAGGGGGGAAAUCCUGGAGCUCAACUCCAGAACUGCCUUUGAUACUGAAGAUCUUGAGUUCGGGAGAGGUGAGUGGAACUGCGAGUGUAGAGGUGAAAUUCGUAGAUAUUCGCAAGAACACCAGUGGCGAAGACGGCUCACUGGCCCGAUACUGACGCUGAGGCACGAAAGCGUGGGGAGCAAACAGG
rnacentral:rRNA from 1 species